ensembl:lncRNA
GAGAGAGAGAGAGAGAGAGAGAGAGUGUGAGUGUGAGUGAGUGAGUCAGUGUGAGUGUGUGUGUGUGUGUGUGUGUGUGUGCGUGCGCGCGCGCGCGUGUGCGAACACUUAACUGUUCACUUUCAGUAACUUUGCAGGUUUAACUCUGACUGAGAGCAGCACUUCUCUCGCGCGCCCGUCUCGCGGUGUCUGUAACCCGGAUGUUAAUCGUCACUGCAUUUAAAAUCUUUCAACAUAAAGACGAGUUUAAUGUUUAAAGGGAGCGGCGCGUCACACUGAAUAAACCGGAAGUGGAUUAAAAAAAGAAAAGGUAAAGUUUAAUAACAUUCGGUUUAUGUCGUGCUUUCUGUCAUGAGUCGUGUUUUUGUUUUCUGCGCGUGUGUAAAAUGUUUAAUUUCCUUCAUUAGCAUUAGCGUUAGCGUUAGCAGGCUAACAGGAAACACCGUUUGAAUAUUCUCUAGCAAACUAGCACGAGCUGAUGUUUGUGUUUAUUCCGCUUCUUUUCGUGAAUAUUGUAGAUCAUUAUCGUCAGCUCCUCUCAGAUAAAGAACAGAGUUAAUGCCACACCGCGGAGUUUGUAGUUUGUAGAAAUGUGUUGUUUUUGUUUAGACAUUCGCUUGGGGAAGAUCUGUAACGCUGGAUAACUAGCACUGACUUCAGUCCCUGAAGCGCAGUAACACUUGUAGUGCUGAAUAUUGUCUGAUCUCCGACCCUGAUCCGAUCUCGACGUCCUGUAGUCGUGUGUAAUACUAUAUCUGUGUUUAUCACUUCACACAUUCACCCCAUAAAGUUGAUCAACAGAUUGGAUCUGAAAGUACGUAAAUGAUCCGAUCCGAUCUCGGUAUUUUGAUAUGAAUUUGAUGUUGAUUAUGAGCAGUGAUUUAGGAGAACCUGUAUCUGACACACUCCAUAUUAAACACGUCCGAUAUUAAACAAUACACUUUUAUCAUCAGUGUUUUUAAAACAGUCACAAAGUCUGAUUAGAAAACAGCUGAUUGGACGUUACAUUUUAACUAAUAACUGCUGCGUCUGUAGCGUCCUUUAUUUUUUUAAACUGCAGCUCAGUGACGUGAUAAAUCUAAUAAUUAAUAAAUAAACAAACUGACUGACUGAUAGGAAAGAUGGGUGAAUAGGAAAGACAGACAGAUAGGAUGGACAGACAGGUGGAUAGGAUGAACAGAC